GACGAACGCUGGCGGCGUGCUUAACACAUGCAAGUCGAACGGAAAGGCCCUGCUUUUGUGGGGUGCUCGAGUGGCGAACGGGUGAGUAACACGUGAGUAACCUGCCCUUGACUUUGGGAUAACUUCAGGAAACUGGGGCUAAUACCGGAUAGGAGCUCCUGCUGCAUGGUGGGGGUUGGAAAGUUUCGGCGGUUGGGGAUGGACUCGCGGCUUAUCAGCUUGUUGGUGGGGUAGUGGCUUACCAAGGCUUUGACGGGUAGCCGGCCUGAGAGGGGGACCGGCCAAGAUAGGGCGGGAGUGAGGGCCCGCCCACACCGGGAGGGGAGGGGGGGGGAAUUAGGACAAGAGGGGGGAGGCCGGAAGGAGCAAGCCCGGGUGGGGGAGGGGGGCAUUCGGGAGGGAACCACUUUGCGCUUUAAAGGGAGGGUAAGGGCGGUAAAGGGUGAAAAAGCCCCGGGUAACUUCGUG
rnacentral:rRNA from 1 species